UACGAAGGGGGCUAGCGUUGUUCGGAAUCACUGGGCGUAAAGCGCACGUAGGCGGAUGUGUCAGUCAGGGGUGAAAUCCCGGGGCUCAACCUCGGAACUGCCUCUGAUACAGCACAUCUUGAGUCCGGAAGAGGUGGGUGGAAUUCCUAGUGUAGAGGUGAAAUUCGUAGAUAUUAGGAAGAACACCGGUGGCGAAGGCGGCCAUCUGGACCGCAACUGACGCUGAGGCGCGAAAGCGUGGGGAGCAAACAGG
rnacentral:rRNA from 1 species